rnacentral:rRNA from 1 species
UACGUAGGGACCAAGCGUUGUUCGGAUUUACUGGGCGUAAAGGGCGCGUAGGCGGCGCGGUAAGUCACUCGUGAAAUCUCUGAGCUUAACUCAGAACGGCCAAGUGAUACUGCAGUGCUAGAGUGUGGAAGGGGCAAUCGGAAUUCUUGGUGUAGCGGUGAAAUGCGUAGAUAUCUGGAGGAACACCGGUGGCGAAGGCGGCAUCCUGGACCGGCAUUGACGCUGAGGCGCGAAAGCCAGGGGAGCAAACGGG